GGAUAAUGCGAUUCUGCUGUGUGGGCACGAGCGUUUCUCAAUUUUCAGGUAAUCUACAUUACAUUCUAUGUUCUGCAUAUUCGGCGGCGACAAAAAACCCAACCUGAUAUGCGUGCAACAGUUUCGUGUAGCCUUGGAGAUCAGCGUUAUAUAGUAGACUGGCCAAACUCCGACGACGCAAAAGUAAGCCAACCGAGACCACACACUAUGCUCUGGCCAAGGAAAAGGUGGAUACUAUCGGGGGAAACCGCUAUAAGCUAAACAUAGCGGUCACUGAGGUUGACGAUCCAGAUAACUGGUGGUUCUAUUUGUGCGAAAUC